rnacentral:lncRNA from 1 species
GCGGGACCCGUGAGGGGCGGGUCAGGCCGUUGUGCGCUUCGGGACUCUGACCCCGCGGGUCCUGCUUCUGGGGGUGUGGCUCCUGGAAGGAGAGCUGGGAUGUGUGAUCUUCUUCACGUGCAGAGAGAGACCACUUCGUCCUCCUUCAAGGGGCAGCUCUGAGACACGAUGCAUUUGUGAGGAAAGUUUCCCACCUGCCAGGAGAGGGGUCAUCUACCUGAGGGCGUGCAUUUGAGAUGGAGAGAAAUACAUCAAUCCUGUCCCAAGCACCACUCAGGCUAUGAUACAAUAGUUGCACAAACUGGUUUUAUAGUUCCUACGCCCAACCUUUUCAGAACAUUGGACCUUGUCUACCUCAAGGAGACCUUUCUUUGGUGAAAGACGUCAAGGGCAGAAUUCCCCUUCCCUUCCCACAUUGACUUCCGAGCAGCCACAGCGUCUUCAGAAGUUUCAUUCCCAGUUAGAAACUAGCUAAAGUACUUUCAGAAAAC